GGUACGAAGUUAGUGAUGUCACACUGCCGAGAAAAGCUUCUAGCGUUAAUUAUACUCUACCCGUACCGCAAACCGACACAGGUAGUCGAGGCGAGUAGCCUCAGGUGAGCGAGAGAACUCUCGUUAAGGAACUCGGCAAAAUGGCCCCGUAACUUCAGGUGAGCGAGAGAACUCUCGUUAAGGAACUCGGCAAAAUGGCCCCGUAACUUCGGGAGAAGGGGCGCUGACUUAUGGUCAGCCGCAGUGAAUAGGCCCAGGCGACUGUUUAACAAAAACACAUGGCUGUGCGAAAUAGUUAACAUGAAGUAUACAGCCUGACACCUGCCCGGUGCUGGAAGGUUAAGAGGAGAUGUCAUCGCAAGAGAAGCAUUGAAUUGAAGCCCCAGUAAACGGCGGCCGUAACUAUAACGGUCCUAAGGUAGCGAAAUUCCUUGUCGGGUAAGUUCCGACCUGCACGAAUGGUGUAACGAUCUGGGCACUGUCUCAACCGUGAGCUCGGUGAAAUUGUAGUAUCGGUGAAGAUGCCGAUUACCCGCGAUGGGACGAAAAGACCC
rnacentral:rRNA from 1 species